AGUGCUUUAAUGGGAACAUUAAGCACCAUGUUGGUGCAAUGCACAGUGAAUAACCCUUUUAACGCUCCGUGAAAGCGAUCACAAAGAAACUCUGCAAUACUUGUUUGC
rfam:Citrobacter rodentium ICC168, complete genome